CCUACGGGGGGCUGCAGUGGGGAAUAUUGGACAAUGGGGGCAACCCUGAUCCAGCCAUGCCGCGUGUGUGAAGAAGGCCCUCGGGUUGUAAGCACUUUCAGUGAGGAAGAACGCCUGGUGGUUAAUACCCAUCAGGAAAGACAUCACUCACAGAAGAAGCACCGGCUAACUCCGUGCCAGCAGCCGCGGUAAUACGGAGGGUGCGAGCGUUAAUCGGAAUUACUGGGCGUAAAGCGCGCGUAGGUGGCUUGAUAAGCCGGUUGUGAAAGCCCCGGGCUCAACCUGGGAACGGCAUCCGGAACUGUCAAGCUAGAGUGCAGGAGAGGAAGGUAGAAUUCCCGGUGUAGCGGUGAAAUGCGUAGAGAUCGGGAGGAAUACCAGUGGCGAAGGCGGCCUUCUGGACUGACACUGACACUGAGGUGCGAAAGCGUGGGUAGCAAACAGGAUUAGAUACCCGUGUGUC
rnacentral:rRNA from 1 species